CCAUGAAAUGAUGAGUUGAUAUCCACAGACCUGUACUGAUCUCUUUGAUGAUAAGAUAUCAUGCACCACCAACUGAUCAUGG